GAUUGCUCCAUCUAAUGACAAAGGAGAUUAGAAGAGUUGAUUACCUUAAAAUUACAAACGGUCUCUUCUUUAUUUAGCUAGAUACAUAUAUAGGGUAGAGCCCUUGAAAAGGGACUAGAGAUUUUGGGUGGCUCAAUGCUUGGGUGUCCAAUCUGGCACACCAUAAAGGUGCCAUGCUUUUGGAGGGUGAGUACUCAGCACUUUCUGGAAAAUGAGGCUCCCUUUAACAUAUCUGAAGUUGAGCCCCCCAAAACAGUCAUCUGAAAAUACGGGUCGCUCUUAACCGUGUGGGUCUAAGCCCCCAUUGCUGCUGUACCUGAACACCCUGAAUAUAAUAAGAAACGCAACCACAAGAGCUGUUUGAUUCUUACUUAUUGAAUGUGCUAAUUGACAAAUGUUUCUCAUUAUUCAUUGAUAAAGCUACUGCCUUUUUUCCUUCUUCUUCUGCCUUUUCCCAGUAUUUAACUAGCCUAGCAGGGAGCUGUCCUCUUCUGGAUCCACGAUUGAGACACUGGGAAAUGCAGCUCACCACUGGGGUGCCUGGGGGAAGUCUAUACUCUCAAAAGCUGCUAACUAAACUCUUUUAAAUGAAUGAAAAUAAGUUUUCCAUUUUAAGUAAAUGAGUUAAUUCAACAGGGGUCAAACCCCUGUUUUAAAAAUAAAUAGAAUUGGUCAGCCAGUCACUUGGAGAAUGAGCUUCUCCCUUCUUUUCAAAUGGUGAGCUAUAUUGCCUGGGCCUGAUCCUUCUCUCAGUUCCACCAGUGUUGACUCACUAACUCAGGUGUAAAAGAGAUCAGAUCAUCUUUGCCUCAAUCUGCUUCCUAGUGGGAGGUUGUCUCUAAUGUACCAGCAAGCUGCCAAUCCCUAGUAAAGGAGUCACUGGCACCAUGCACUGAAUGGAGGUGCUGAAACAGCAGCAGAAAGUUUUAAAAGUAGAUUGGACAUUCAUUUAAUAUGUAAUAGGUAUCCUUAUUUGGGGCCUGGUUCUCCUCUCAUUGACACCAUUGUAAAUCAGGAGUACCAUUCACUUUGAUAAAAAGAACAGGAGUACUUGUGGUACCUUAGAGACUAACAAAUGUAUUAAAGCAUAAGCUUUCGUGAGCUACAGCCCACUUAAAUGGAGUUACACCAGAGUAAAACUGGUGUGAGAACAGAAUCAAGCCUUUUAUUAAGUAUUUCUCCAGAUACCUAAGGGAUUAUAUGUAAUCACUGCAGUUUUCUUUUAAUAGAAGGAAAAACAGAGCCCCAUAUCACAUGGCCAACUCUCAUAAUCAGUAGGCUGUGGAGGGGAAAACACCCCAUAGGAAGAUUUGAACCAACGUCCCUAGGUUUGUAACGUAACCCAAGGGAUCACUAGACCACCCCAUAGCAGAUAAGAAAUAAGGUGUUUGGGAAGCAAAUGAGCUGAAUUUUUAUACUGAAUAAGCACAGUUAUGUAGCACAGAUGUUUCUGCAAUUAUACUAGUGCUGGGAAAAUUCAGGGUUGACUGUCCUUUAAACUUUUACUUCCUCCUUUAGCAUGGUAUUACAGUGUCAGUAUGCUCAGUAUUAAUAACAACACAGGCAGGAGUACAGUGGCCUGCUGAAUCCCCACCAAAGGUAGUUGUCUUGCAUUGCUUGUGCAACUUUUAUCAUUGUCUUUAUUUAGCAUGUAAAUGAAACAGCUUGUGACAGGUCCCCCCUCCAAGGGUGCCACCUGGAACUGAGGUACAGCUGAGCCCUCCGUUUCACCAAUCUGGGAUCCCUCUUGCACUGUGAGGUUGUAACAAGCUGAAAAGCCCUACAAGCUUGCACUCACAGCAACAUCCACAGGCAAGGACUACCCUCAGCUGUGUUCACCAGCUCCCCAGCCUAAGACCCCAGAGCUGUACCGUUCUGCCCUGGUCAAGACCUAACCUGUAUGAAUUUAUUACCCAGUCCACCACUUCUACAAAGGAAAGAAGAUGUAAACCAAUUCUUGUUCGUGAGCUGAGAUUUAUCCACUUUGUACUUCAAACAACACACAGUGUUUUAGGCCUUGUUACAAAGACACAAACUUCACCACAGCUGCAGAAGAGGGUAACCAGUCCUCUGUAUUAUCAGCAGAGCUUGGAGUGUUGGGGAUAAAACCACCUGGGAGAAAACAAUAGCACCCGUGUAAGAACAUUCCAGUACACACCUGAAAGAUGGCAGAAAAUAAGGCUAUUGGUCAAUGGAUGCCACAGAUCAUAGCUUCUGAGGACCACAACUGCAGAUACUGAACCUAAGGUGGGACUAUUGAGGGUAAGCUGCUUGGGUCACAGACUGCCUUCCGUUCUAUGUUUGUAAAAUGCCACCGCACAAUGGGGCCCUGCUUGGUACUACCAGAUUACAAAGAGUAAAUAAUAAACAAAAGUGAUGGGGCAUAUUGAUUGAUUGUUCUCCACAUCCCUGAAGGCAGGACAAGAAAUAAUUAGUUUAAUCUGCAGCAAAGGAGAUUGAGGUUAGAUAUUAGGAAAAAACUCCCUAACCAUAGGGAUAUUUAAGCUCUGGAAUAGGCUUCCAAGGGAGUUUGUGGAAUCCCCAUCAUAGAAGGUUUUUAAGAACAGCUUAGACAAAGACCUGUUAGGGAUAGUCCGUCCUGACUCAGGUGACCUCUUGAGGUCCCUUCCAGCUCUACAUUUCUAUGAUUGGGCCCACAGGUACUUCUUUAUGGCUGGCUCUCUGUAAUACCAUUAAUUUCACUGGAAGUUUUUAAAUUUAAUUAUGGA